UGCAGUUGCACACAGAAAACACACACAUACAAGCUUAUAUCAACUGUAUAGGUGCCUUUCUGUUCAGCUACAGCGGGCAGUCUUGCUUUAAGACGUGUGAUGCGUCUCGCUCUCCCACUUGCGAAGCAGUAUUGUCAUACACACAAGCACGCCUGCACUCACACAUGCGUGUGCACACCAAUCAGUACACUAGGAAGAGGAGAGACUCGUACUGAGUGGCUUUCAAUGGGAGAGAAGAGCUGAGAAGAGAGAGGGACGGAGCGAGCGAGCGCACAAGAGAGAGGGAGAGAGAGAGAGAAGUGUCGUCGCAUGUGCAGGACCAAAAAGUGAAGAGGCAAAUUAGCUUGUUAUCCCCCAAAGAAGCUUCACCUUCAGAAAGAAGCGUGAGGAGGCUGAGAAACAGGAGGAAUACGUUGCUUCUCUGGUGAUUUAAAGGUGACAUGACAAGCCGCUCGUCCCUCAAAUCCCAGCUAGUUUCUGACAGCGUCUCACAGCUGUGACGGGAGUUUCUGCUGUCGGGUGCCUGACUGUGUUCGGUGGAUUGCAGCCAGGAGGACUUACAACAGAAGAGGGGAUCAAGGGCAGGAGCGGGAACAAAAGUCUCCUCAUCCCCCGCCCCCCCCUCCCUCUGACCCCUAGAUCCAAGCAGGAACUUUUGCUGGGAAGCUCUUUCCCGUGAGCAUGGAUGGAUUUAUGACUAUGUGCUGAGGAUAUUGGAUGAACAUUGACGGCAGGUUUCUUUAACAUUCUCCUGACACGGUAUCACACAGCCGGUGCUCCUGCCAUGUCCUGGCUCCUGUGUCUGUGGAUAAGUGUUAGCUGCUUACUGCUGUGCCACGCCACUUUGUAUGAAACCAUCCAGCAGCAUCAUGUGACCCGCCCGGGCCGCAACGCCAUACAGAUACUGGAGGGAGGAACAUGUGAGGUCAUCGCAGCACACCGAUGUUGCAACAAGAACCGCAUUGAGGAACGUUCCCAGACGGUCAAGUGCUCAUGUUUACCAGGAAAAGUGGCCGGCACAACACGGAACAAACCUUCCUGUGUAGACGCCUCCAUCGUGAUUGGGAAGUGGUGGUGUGAGAUGGAGCCGUGUCUGGAGGGAGAGGAGUGUAAGACACUACCAGACAACUCCGGAUGGAUGUGUUCCUCUGGGAACAAGAUCAAGACCACGAGGAACACCCAGCCAUAUUCAACUUUUUAGCUCUGAGGGCCACCAAAACUGGCUCACCAGAAGCUCAGCGGCGUCCUUCUCCUCAUCAAGAUUCAUCCCCGGACCUAACAAAGAGCUCCUUCACAGGCAGUGAAUGUGGAUUCUCUCUGUCAGAAUGGACGAAACCAUUGAUUCAAAGGGGUGUUUGACUGGAUUACCUGUGACUGAACAAUAAAGAAUGACAUUCUUGGGGAUAAAGAUGAGAUUUGCUCAUUCGGUGCCAAGGAAUGUGAAAAAAUAGAAAUAAAGCAGGCUAAUCUGUGUUUUUGAUCAGUGAGCCCAACACUGCGGACUCCGACGGCUGUCUCCAAUUCUCUCUAUUUUCUGCAUUUCUCCUGACCACCUUUCUCCGGUUCUAAAGUCAUACAGCUUAGGGGAGCCGUUUACUGGAUUUCAAAUUAUAUUUGAAGACUUUACCUCCCUAGGUAAACUGGACAAUCCUGAUAUAAGCUGUGAAUGACUGUAUGAAGGAUCAUGAUGGAUAAGCAUUGGUCUGUGAAAAUGAGGUGGAAAUCAAUAGGAGAUUUUUUCCAUCCCUCCAUCAGUUUGUCGUUCUGCCGUCCACGCUGGCUUUGGUAAUAGACUGGGAGCUUCUGAAGCCCUGCUAUUUCCCUCCACUUCUGAGUUUACCGCUCACCGCUAGUGUCCACACGUCGUUCGUUUUGGAAUUCCCCCGGGUCAAAGGUCACCUCACUGUCUACACCUACUUGGGCCAGAUAUCUUUUUAUUUGUCGGCAUGCUCAGUGUAUUUUGUGGGAGCUUUGUAUUGAAAGUAACUGUAUAUAUUUCUGUAUAUAUACAUAUAGAUACAUAUUAAAAGACAUCAUAUGAAGAUCUAACAUGCCCUUAAACCUGUUUAGUGGGUUUGAAUUAAGACUGUAUUCAUGGUUUUGGUUACUUGAACAAGAAGUACAAUUAAUCCCUAAUUUAAGGCUGUCUGUGGAAAUACAUAUUCUCUCGAUGUAAUGGAAAUCCUGCAUUUUUUGCUUAAAAUGUUCCAAAACACAAAGGGGAAAAUUCACUAAACAGUUGCAACACUUUUGCACAUGAUAUUUGAGCACAAAAAACUUUUUUGGCACUUAAAUAGCCCUAAUUUAUACAUCAUUGUCAUUCAUUUUCAGUGCAAAUUAUUCAGAAAACUCUAUUUAUAUAGUGGAAUUAAGGUUGUGCUUCUACCGCCAGCAAAAAUCAGAUGGUAAAUUACUUGAUUAUGUAUAUUUUCUAGUGAUCAUUGCAGCAGUACUUCAAAAUGUAAUAAUCAAAUAAUAUAGAAGAGCAGCUGUGCAGAGUAGUUGACCACACUUUCAUUGGUGCUGUAAAGUACAUCAAAUUAUGGUACACCACUUUAUCCUCCACAACCUACUACAGCAUAUGGAAGCAACCAGCGCCAUCCACAGUUUUUGUGGGUCCAUUUGUUCUGUUGUCUGAUUUGUUAAAUUCUUUAGUGAAUCAGGUGCAAACAGUGCAAAUACUUGCCUCUGUCGGCAGACGCAACUCAUUCUUAGUGAAUUUCCCAAAGAUUUCAGUGUGAUGAGGACCAGCCCAACAAAAGAAGCCACAGUCACCUAUUGGAGCUUAGAUAACCAUUGGUAAUUUCCUAUAGGCAGUUCUAACUCAGUUCAGUUCAGUCCAUGGUCCAGUUUGUUCUGUGCUGUUCUGAGAAUAGAUAGGCUUCAUUAUGCUUGUGUAGGUUUCAUAAAUACAACAAAAUAGAAGACAUUGAGCUUGUUUAAGAUGAUAAUCAUGAUGAUAACUAAACACUGGAUCUGUGUCACUGGACAAAGACCUGAUUCAGUUCAGAAAAAUGAAGCCUUAGUUUGGUAGGGUCAGUGUCGCAAAAUGUUGUUUUCUGGAGAUAAAACUUAUUUAUAAUGCUUGGCAGCUUAUAAUUUACAAUUGCUAUACCUCCACAUGAAUUAUGAGGAAAAAUUUUCAUUCAAAAUGUCACAUUAAAAUGUUCUAGUUUUCUGUGUAAUAUGUUUUCGAAAGUGCAAAAGGUCAGAGGAAAGGUGGGCUUCAUUUCUCUUUACUGGCAUCAGUAGACCUGCAAUUACAGUAGCUCUGGUAGAUAAACAUGCAGCCUUAUCAGAAGCAAAUCAAUAUUAAAAUGGUUUUCUAUA